rnacentral:rRNA from 1 species
GAUGAACGCUAGCGAUAGGCUUAACACAUGCAAGUCGAGGGGCAGCACAAGGUAGCUUGCUAUCUGGGUGGCGACCGGCGCACGGGUGCGUAACGCGUAUGCAACUUGCCCUAUACAGGAGGAUAACCCGUCGAAAGACGGACUAAUACUGCGUAUGCUCACAACUUGGCAUCAAGUGGUGAGGAAAGAAAUUCGGUAUAGGAUAGGCAUGCGUCCCAUUAGCUUGUUGGUGAGGUAACGGCUCACCAAGGCAACGAUGGGUAGGGGAACUGAGAGGUUUAACCCCCACAGUGGUACUGAGACACGGACCAGACUCCUACGCGAGGCAGCAGUGAGGAAGAGUGGUCAAUGGGCGCGAGCCUGAACCAGCCAAGUCGCGUGAAGGAUGACUGUCUUAUGGAUUGUAAACUUCUUUUAUACGGGAAUAACAAGAGUCACGUGUGACUCCCUGCAUGUACCGUAUGAAUAAGCAUCGGCUAACUCCGU